UACGUAGGGUGCAAGCGUUAAUCGGAAUUACUGGGCGUAAAGCGUGCGCAGGCGGUUUUGUAAGUUUGUCGUGAAAUCCCCGGGCUCAACCUGGGAAUGGCGAUGAAGACUGCAAGGCUAGAAUCUGGCAGAGGGGGGUAGAAUUCCACGUGUAGCGGUGAAAUGCGUAGAGAUGUGGAGGAACACCGAUGGCGAAGGCAGCCUCCUGGGCCAAUACUGACGCUCAUGCACGAAAGCGUGGGGAGCAAACAGG
rnacentral:rRNA from 1 species